rnacentral:lncRNA from 1 species
UUAGCCAUGAUUUUUCUUGGGAUUUAUUGAAUUAGUUUUGAGUUAGUUUGGAUUGGAUCAUUCUGUUUGGUUCUAUGAGCUUCAAAUUGCAUGCUUUGUGCUCUUUGCCUUAUGAAAUGAAAUUGGUUGAUGAUAUGAAUCUGAGACCACUUGUAUUUGUUUCUUAUUUGAUUGAAAUUUAUUUUGGAUAAUUUUCAUGUUCUGUUUUG